GAUGAACGCUAGCGAUAGGCCUAACACAUGCAAGUCGAGGGGCAUCACAUGAAGUAGCAAUACGGAUGGUGGCGACCGGCGCACGGGUGAGUAACACGUAUGCAACCUGCCUUCAACAAGGGGAUAACCCGUUGAAAAACGGACUAAUACCCUAUAACACAGGGGUCCCGCAUGGGAAUAUUUGUUAAAGGACAACCGGUUGAAGAUGGGCAUGCGUUCCAUUAGCUAGUUGGCGGGGUAACGGCCCACCAAGGCAACGAUGGAUAGGGGGAACUGAGAGGUUUAUCCCCCACACUGGUACUGAGACACGGACCAGACUCCUACGGGAGGCAGCAGUGAGGAAUAUUGGUCAAUGGACGCAAGUCUGAACCAGCCACGUCGCGUGAAGGAAGACGGCCCUACGGGUUGUAAACUUCUUUUAACGGGAAUAAAGUGCCCCACGCGUGGGGUUUCGCAUGUACCGUAUGAAUAAGGAUCGGCUAACUCCGUG
rnacentral:rRNA from 1 species